rnacentral:tRNA from 1 species
ACCGACUUCGUGAACCGACACGCGACUCACAAUCGCCGAGUUGUGGGUUCGAGUCCCACCGGGGGUA